rnacentral:rRNA from 1 species
AUGGAAAAGGUUUUGGUUGCAAAAAAUAUCAAGAAUAACAUGGGUACCGCAGGGGCCACGAACGAGGUGGAAACCCUGAGGGAAGCGGUGGCCGUGGCCGAAAACAAAGCGGCUGCGGAGCGCACCGAGCGAGAGAAAGGGGAGGCGCAGCUGGCGGAGGUGCGGCAAGAGCUCCAGAUUCUCGUGAAAAAACACGAGGGUUUGGAGCGUGACUCGAAGACCCGUCCGAGCUUGCCUCGGCUCUUGAGAGUGCCAAAGCUGCUAAGGCCGAGGCCCAAAAAGCCCUCCAAGAAAUCGAAGCACUAA